rnacentral:misc_RNA from 1 species
GAUGAAGAACGUAGCGAAAUGCGAUAAGUAGUGUGAAUUGCAGAAUUCAGUGAAUCAUCGAAUCUUUGAACGCACAUUGCGCCCCUUGGUAUUCCAUGGGGCAUGCCUGUUCGAGCGUCAUUUGUACCUUCAAGCUUUGCUUGGUGUUGGGUGUUUGUCUCGCCUUUGCGUGUAGACUGGCCUUAAAAUAAUUGGCAGCCGGCGUAUUGAUUUCGGAGCGCAGUACAUCUCGCGCUUUGCACUCAUAACGACAGCGUCCAAAAGUACAUUUUACACUCUUGACCUCGGAUCAGGUAGGGAUACCCGCUGAACUUAAGCAUAUCAAUAAGCGGAGGA